UACGUAGGUGGCAAGCGUUAUCCGGAUUUAUUGGGCGUAAAGGGAACGCAGGCGGUCUUUUAAGUCUGAUGUGAAAGCCUUCGGCUUAACCGGAGUAGUGCAUUGGAAACUGGGAGACUUGAGUGCAGAAGAGGAGAGUGGAACUCCAUGUGUAGCGGUGAAAUGCGUAGAUAUAUGGAAGAACACCAGUGGCGAAAGCGGCUCUCUGGUCUGUAACUGACGCUGAGGUUCGAAAGCAUGGGUAGCGAACAGG
rnacentral:rRNA from 1 species